rnacentral:lncRNA from 1 species
AAAAAAGAAAAGAAAAAAAAAUGAAAGAGAGAGGAGAGAGGGAGAGGAGAGAGAAGGGAGAGAGAGGAGGGAGAGGGAGGGAAAUUCUUUAAUGUGUAAGGGCAAAUUAGUAAUUUCAUAAAUUAGUCCGAAGGUGGCUUAGUCCGGGGACUAGCUGUCCCAGGGGUGGGGGGGGGACAGCUUAGUCCCGUAUAUGCCGGACUAUUAGUCCGACCGGACUAAUAGUCCGGAACCAUUUUUCACAAACAAAC